rnacentral:lncRNA from 1 species
GUCGCCCUACCCCUUCGCAUUCUGCGAACAGCCUGUCUAACCUCUUCUACCUUAAAACGUCUACAAUAGCUAAAAUCCCGACACUCCUCUGAGUGCUCCAGUUCCCCUAACACAAUAGCUCUAUCCCCUUCGUCAUUCAAGAGCCUAUGAAAGUACGACUGCCAUCUAUUCUUAAUGUGGCCGUCCUCCACCAACACUCUACCGUCCUCCCCCUUAAUGCACCUCACCUGAUCGAGGUCACGACCCUUCCUCUCCCUAGCCUUAGUGAGUCUAAACAACUUUUUCUCCCCUCCCUUCCCCUGUAAUCCUGUAAGGCGGCCGUCUUAGCUGCCGUGACUGCUGACUUAGCCUCCUUCCUCGCUAGCUUGUACUCUUUCCUGUUUACCCGCUUCUCCUCUUCGUCCUUACUCUCCACCAACUUGGCAUACGCCCCUUUCUUGGUCCCCACUUUCUUCUCCACCUCUUUAUUCCACCACCAAUCCCCCUGAUGGUGGCCGGCCCGGCCCCUAGAA